rnacentral:rRNA from 1 species
ACGAUGAAGCCGGAGCUUGCUCUGGUGGAUUAGUGGCGAACGGGUGAGUAACACGUGAGUAACCUGCCCCUGACUCUGGGAUAAGCGCUGGAAACGGCGUCUAAUACCGGAUAUGCGCUGUAACCGCAUGGUUUGCAGCGGGAAAGAUUUAUCGGUUGGGGAUGGACUCGCGGCCUAUCAGCUUGUUGGUGAGGUAAUGGCUCACCAAGGCGUCGACGGGUAGCCGGCCUGAGAGGGUGACCGGCCACACUGGGACUGAGACACGGCCCAGACUCCUACGGGAGGCAGCAGUGGGGAAUAUUGCACAAUGGGCGCAAGCCUGAUGCAGCAACGCCGCGUGAGGGAUGACGGCCUUCGGGUUGUAAACCUCUUUUAGCAGGGAAGAAGCCUUCGGGUGACGGUACCUGCAGAAAAAGCGCCGGCUAACUACGUGCCAGCAGCCGCGGUAAUACGUAGGGCGCAAGCGUUAUCCGGAAUUAUUGGGCGUAAAGAGCUCGUAGGCGGUUUGUCACGUCUGCUGUGAAAACUGGAGGCUCAACCUCCAGCCUGCAGUGGGUACGGGCAGACUAGAGUGCGGUAGGGGAGAUUGGAAUUCCUGGUGUAGCGGUGGAAUGCGCAGAUAUCAGGAGGAACACCGAUGGCGAAGGCAGAUCUCUGGGCCGUUACUGACGCUGAGGAGCGAAAGGGUGGGGAGCAAACAGGCUUAGAUACCCUGGUAGUCCACCCCGUAAACGUUGGGAACUAGUUGUGGGGGCUUUUCUACGGUCUCCGUGACGCAGCUAACGCAU